UACAACCGCCUUCAGUGCCACAUGUAGAUUUGUCAUCAUUACCUUGCCGGCCGCUCCCCUCUCACUGUCUUCUCAUAAUAUCAUCUAUGUCGGAACUCCCUAACAUUUCCCCACCGCAAGCCCCAAAAUCCGCAAACAAUCUCGCGUCGUCGCUACGAACUCGAGAUGUUCUCUCUGCUAGCACCUCUAAUUUCGUCCCUCGCCAAGCUACCCAGCACUACAAUAUUGAUUCCUUCGACCCUAGGUCAAAUACAUAACAAGGGCCCUGUUGAACUCUGGAUGCCCUGGAAGGGAAGAUCUUUGGAGGUGUCAAUCAACAAAAUUAUAUAAGGAGCUCGUGAGGAGUAAAGGGCGGGGGUGAAUAUCACCACCGAUCCGAAAAAAGUUCUCCUUUCACUCAUUUCAGCGGUUAGUUAACUCUUUCAUGCCUGCGGACAAUUACUGUCUAUGCAUAUUAUUUCUUAUUUUGGUGUUUGCAUGAUUUUCGUAAGGAAUUGGUGUUCACAUGUUAUUUUCAAUCCAUGGAGCUCGUGAGAUUUUCUUUGGGUAACACGCUUAACGUUGGCUUUCAGGCUAAAGGCCACAAAGAUUCGUAUAUAAAAUAGAGAUAGUGAUACUCUUCUCCUUCUUCUUCUUUUUACUCCCGCUCCUCCUCUCCCUCUUCGAAAUCAGUUCAUAGAGCGAAAAGUGUUUCGUACAUGGGCCCUAGGCAGCCCUUUUUUUCAUUGAACGUAUUUUUUACACCUCAAAGAAUAAUGAAAAAAAAAUAUACAUAGAGUAUACACAUAUGAAACUUCAUCAACAUAUAUUUUCUUAUGUGGUAUACAAAAAGAAGACAAAUACAUAUAUUAAAAAUUGUUGCAGUGGUGGUGGUGGUGGUGUGGCAUUUUUCACAGAAAUUGUAUCUUAUUAUGUAGUUUGAAAAUAAUUGUAUUAUUCGAUGAAUUCUUGCAGAUAUGUAGUUAACAUGUAUACAAAUUUGUAAAGAAGUUAAACUUUCUUGGAACUUUUAAACAAUAUUUCCAAAUUUUAUUCAAAUUCCAAGCUCCCUACAGCCUGUCCUCCAAAAUGUUGCUCCGCUCUCAUUCAGAGAAAUGCCCUUUUUUUGGCCAUUCAAAGGGUGCCUUUUUUGGGGGAAAUUCAAAAGUUGUCUGGUAUGGAUAACACAUGUUUUGUUCAUAUGCCCCCCCCCCCGGUACGUCUUUACAAUGCACGGUGCUCUAGUUGCACUGCAAGUAUCCUCCACUCGUAUCAUGCCCAUAACUAUGCUGCAUCAGGUCCAACCCAUAUAGCCAAGCCAUCACAAAAAUACCGGCUUAACAUUCUAUUUAUUCCUCCUUGAAAAAAACAUUCCAUUUAUUACUCCAGUUUUGAUUGCGUAACACGCACAUCCACGUGCGAGAACAUGGAUAUCGGACGGUGCGGACCAGGCGUAGGGAUUGGGUGCGUUUUGGUCGUAUCUCCCUCGGUAUGCAUUUCGGUUGUAUCGCCACCGGUAUGCGUUUCGGCCAAUCUCCCCCUUUUCAACCACCAGGGCAUCAGGAUGAGGGCGUGCAUUGCGAUUGUAUCUCUCCCUUUCCAACCAUCGGGCAUCGAGAUCAGGGGGUGCAUUUUAGAUGUAUGUCACGCAUCCACAAAGAAGAACACAUAAUAUAUGAUGCAGACGGGGGCACUGGAUGCAUUUCUGUCAUAUCUCCCCAUUUCUAACCACCGGGGCAUCGAGAUCGGCGGGUGCGUUUCGGCUAUAUCUCGCGCAUCCACAUACAAGAAUGUGGAUCAGAUGAUGUGGACCAGGGCACUGGGACCAGUGGGUGCAUUUCGGUCGCAUCUCCCCUUUCCCACCACCGGGGCGUAGGGAUCAAGGGGUGUGUUUCGGCUGUAUCUCCCAUUUCCAACCACCGGGGCAUAGGGAUCAAGGGGUGCAUUUCUGCUGUAUCUCCUUCUUUCCAACCACUAGGACAUAUGAUCAAGGGGUGCGUUUCGGCUGUAUCUCCCCCUUUCCAGCCAUGGGGACAUAUGAUCAAGGGGUGCGUUUCGGCUGCAUCUCCCCCUUUCCAACCACCGGGGCAUAGGAUCAAGGGGUGUUUUUCGGCUGUAUCCCUCAACCACCGGGGCAUAGCGUAGCGAUCAAGGGGUGCGUUUCGGCUAUAUCUCCCCCUUUCCAACCACCGGGGCAUAGGGAUUAGGAGGUGUGUUUCGGAUGUAUCCCCCAACACCGAGGCAUAGCAUAAAGAUCAAGGGGUGCAUUUCGGCGGUAUCUCCCACUUCCAACCACCAUGGCAUUAGAUGAGUACUGGCCAAAUUUACUAUUACGUACACUCCAUCAUACAUUAGCCCGUUUCAUGUCAUCACUUUCUGACCUUGGUCACUAGAGGCCAGGCCCGGCUGCCUGUAUGGUAGUGCUUCCAAAAUAACGUUGCAGCCCAUGUGCACCAUCCAAAACGUGGCCUUGCAUGAGGCUUGGCUGCUCUACACUUGUACAAUUUUGUAUAUCUCUCCAUCUUAUCCUGCAUUGCUGAUUUGUAUCAUGAAACUGAUGCGUCCUAGGUAGAGUAUAUCCAUCCAUCUCUUGCAUCGCACUGCUGAUGGAUAUAUACGAUUCCCGCAAAAAAGAAAAUUACGGUGGUUGUUUCCCAGCUAUAGUAUACUCUGCGUGUUGUGAAUAGAAACCUCCAGGUUAACUCUGCAGCCGUAUGCCCCCGUCCAAGACGUGACCUUGCCUGAGGCUUGGCCGAUGUACACUUGUACCCUUCGUAUCUCUCCAUCUCUAUCUGGAGAAACUGAUGCGUUGUACUCCUUCAAUUCCUAAAUAUAAGUUUUUUCUUACAGAUUCUAAUAUAGACUACAUACGAAGCAAAGUGAGUGAAUCUACCGGAAAAUGCCAUCGGAGGCCGAGCUCCAGUGAGCUCGUUUUCAUUUUUUAUUUUUCUGGAGCAUGAAAAAUUCCAAAUUUAUUUUUUGAACACACAUGCACAUGUAUACUAUGUAUAUGCAAAAUUUCACAGUAUUACACGUUUACAUGUGGCCUACAGGAAAAAGACAAAUACACAUUUUUAAUGGGCCUUUUAUUUUUGUUAUUGGGCCAGAAAUUUGUUAUUUUUGUACAGCCUACAAAUCACAACAUUUUUCGACGAAAUUUAACACGUUCUUGCGGAAUACAUAUAAGUUUUCAUGAUAUUUUUUUCAGAUUUUUCUGGAACUUUUAAAUACGCUUUUUGAUUUUUUCAAAUAUCGAGCUCACUGAAGCUCGGCCUCCAAAAAUCCGCACUCGUGAAUCUACACCCUAAAUACGUCUAAAUACAUUCAUAUGUAAUUCGUAUUGAAAUCUCUAAAAGAUACUAUAUUAUAUUUAGAAACAAAGGGAGUAGCUAGCAGGUGACAACCGUGUAGAUAGAUGACACAAAAUAUGUGAUGGAGGGGAAGGCGCGCGUCGCUGCACCGGGAACUAAUGCGUUGUGUGUAUCCUACUCAUGCAAAGACUGUUUGUGCUCUCGUUGCACUCGUAGCCCCUUGAUGCUACUCCCUCCGUCCGAAAAUACUUGUCAUCAAAAUGAAUAAAAGAGAAUGUAACUAGACGUAUUUUAUUUUUAGAUACAUCCCUUUUUGUCCAUUUUGAUGACAAGUAUUUUUGGACGUAAAAAGUACAUUAUUAGUCAAAUAGAAAACGCCUUUUGCAGAAAAAUAAGUCAGUUGCUGCAGACGCCAAAGCACUAACAAAAGCAGAUAAAAAUUCAUGCCAAAUCAUACCACUAAAUCACAACCAUUGCCGCCCCCACCAGACCAAACGAAACCCACGCGCACGGUGGCCAAGGGCUCCAAAUUAGGCGAGGCAUGGCUGUCGAAAUAGCGAUCGCCGAAGGCCAGACGCACAUACAGGUCGAAAGCGUACGGCCAAAUCCUGCGUCAGCACUGCCUGCCGCUUUCUGGCAUGAUCAUUUCGGUGAUGAGUGACAAGGCAGCUUUCGGGAAAGCUACUUUGCACACACAGCAGCAAGAAACACAAGGCACACAAACAGCUUGCGCAAUGCGAUUUCCAGCGAGCAGAAGACGCGUGCUCAAAUUGAUUUCCGUACCUGCACAAAACUUUUCUUCUUCUGAAUUUUGUUUCUUCUGCAAAGUUUUUCAGAUGAUCAGAAGUUCAGAACAAAGAGAAGGGGGUCCCAGCUAGCGUGCAGUGUAUCGGAACAGUCAAUUAAUAGAUAAAAUCAAUAGUAAUAAGCUUGCUUCAUCAACACCAUAAGGAAGAAGAAAAUAUAUAGACUUGCCUGAACUGUAUCGGUGAAGAUCCAUGGAUAAUGGACUUGAUUUUUUAAGCAUUUCCUGAGAUUUUGAUAUCUGAGGUAGUUGGGCCAAUAUCGCCGGCUGGUGGUACAGCCAGCCGUACGGCUGAGUUGGAUCUCGGAUCGGCCUAGGGCUCCUAACCUUCUUAUCCUCUUAUGUUGCCGCUUAUCCCUUUCCCCGUUGGUGUUGAACCGCAAAUCACCUUUCCCGUCCCAAAAAAGAAAGGCCUGCCCUAUGGUGAUGCCGGGGACGAUGCAAGUCUAGCACGAUACACAGUAGGCUCUUCACUUCCAUCUCUCUGGUUCUUCCCAGAAAAGCAACCUCCUCAUCCACAUUUCUGGAUACCUUCCCAUAGCCUUUUCCAUGGCCUACUUACUAUACAUGCUCUUGCCACCUAGCUCGAAGCCCAUUGGUCAGGCAUGCCACAAGAAGGAAGUUAGGCCAGUGGCUGCACUGCACUUCCUGUUGGAAUUUGCUAGUGGGCUUUUGGCUCAAAGCCCAACUAAAAUUCUGAAUUUUUUUUGGCCCAUUCAUGCACACAUGUGAGUGGAGUGAGUGAGGCUAAAGUUUAGUUUCACCUCAUAAGUUGAAAGAGAGUUGCACCUCUUUAUAAGGUGAGCUCUCCUACCACUUGUAUGAGCAUGAGAAGAGGAGACCUACACGCGCGCUCCUCCGCCUCGCCUCAUCACGACGCGAUUGCGCCGCGGGUUGCGGGAUUGAGCCGAGCCAAGGACAGAGCUAUGCACGUUGUCUAUAUUUUUGCUGCUCGGGAAAAAUUAAUGAGUCAUAAAUUAAUAACGGAAAUGUUAACGCCCACACGUGUGGCAUGGCGUCAACUCGACCACACGCGCUUAUCACCGUCCACUGCAUUUCGCACGAAUCUUGACACGAUGCUGGGAUUCCGGACUGCCACGUAGGACUAGCGAAGUGUGUGGCGUGUAUGCCACUUCGCCCGCACGCCGUUUUGCCCCGACGACGACGGUUUUCAUAGUCAGCGCGUGCGGUGGAACUGCCAUCUCGCCCGCACACUAUCUCGAACGCAGUGGUUGCCAUAUUGCACGACUCGCCACUCACCCCUCCCCGCACUGGUGAUCUCUCGCUCCCUCCCCAUUUACUCCCCAACCCACCCAUUCUGCAGCGGUUCCAAUUGAUUCGGGAGGAGUCGAGAGGAGAAGGCGGCGGCGGUGGCGGAAUAGUCGACGGCAUUCGCGGCGGUUGUUGGGAUUCGCCGGCCGGGGACGUCGUCGCCGGAGCAGCUGCAGGCCGAAGGUAAGCCUUCCGCCAUGGUCACACCCAUUCCCCCGCGAUUCAUAUCCCCUUUAUGUGCUUGCUCGAUUUCCCAUCGGGAUUUCUCGAGAUCCCGGCGUUUUUCGCGGUGCGCAUGUGUUGCCGCCGGCGAGGAGUCGGUUGUUUUGCUCACCCCUCCCCGCACGGUAGCUUGUUAUGGUCUCGUCGCCGUCUCUCUCGCCGUCAAGCCGGCGAGACUCGACGAUUCCCCAACCGCAUGUGCUCUCGCAACUGCUUUUUGGGAUGGCGAUGUUGAUGCUGUUUAGUUCAUUAUGUUGCUCCUGAAAUGCUAUUGCCGUCAGUGUCGAGGCGUUUGUGUUGAUGAAAUUGAUGUUAUGCUAGUUGUGGACGAACCCUAGAUCUAUUUCAGGCGCAUUCCAGAGUUUUGAGAAUGAUUGCCAUGACAAUUUGAAACAACUGCCAUCACUGAUGGCAACUGAUUUCUGAAAUUACUGUGUCAGUUGCCUUGUCAGUGGUGCAUUUUAGGCGCAUGUCAGAUUGUAUGAGAAUGAAAGUCAAGUCAAUUCCAAUAUCUACCACCUUUGAUGGCAACUAAUUUUUGAAACAACUGUUUCAGUUGCCAUGUAAUUGGUACGACAAUGUUACUGUUUGGUUUUGUUUGAAUCUACUUUUUAGGUGCAUUUCAAAUUGUUUGAGAAUGAUUGUCAUGGCAAUUUCAACAACUACCACCACUGAUGGCAACUGAUUUUUGAAUCAACUGAGUUAGUUGCCAUGUAGUGGUGCAUCUUAGGCACAUUUUCAGAGUGUUUGAGAAUGAAAGUCAUGCGAAUUUCAUCAACUGCCACAUCUGAUGGCAAUUAAUUUCUGAAACAAAUGUGUCAGUUGCCAUGUCGGUGGUACAGUAAUGUUACUGUUUGGUUUUUGUUGGAUACCGUUUUUAUGUGCAUUUCAAAUUGUUUGAGAGUGAUUGUCAUGGCAAUUUUAACAACUGCCACCACUGAUGGCAACUGAUUGUUGAAUCAAUUGAGUCAGUUGCCAUGUCAGUGGUGCAUCUUAGGCACAUUUUCAGAGUGUUUGAGAAUGAAAGUCAUGUGAAUUUCAUCAACUACCACAUCUGAUGGCAAUUAAUUUCUGAAACAAAUGUGUUAGUUGCCAUGUCAGUGGUACAGUAAUGUUACUGUUUGGUUUUUGUUGGAUGCCGUUUUAGGUGCAUUUCAAAGUGUUUGAGGAUGAUUGUCAUGGCAAUUUUAACAAUUGCCACCACUGAUGGCAACUGAUUUAUGAAACAACUGUGUCAGUUGCCAUGUCAGAUGGAGUGCCUUUUAUCUGCCACAACUAGUUGUUUUGUUAACAUGGAAACAUGAAUCUAGCAUAUGUCUGCCCCUAUUUUUGAAGUACCCUUUAGUUAACUGCCACCACUGAUGGCAACAUGAAUCUAGCUGCAUUGCAGUUUGACACUUGCAGACGACAACUGAAUCAUUUAAGAAGCAGAGACAUGUGUUGUUGCCAUGUAUCUGCAUUUUUCUGCUCUCCCACUUUGGCUACAUUUCUGUCUUUUUAAUACGUGUUGCUCCAUUUGAUGUGUGUUUUUUGUUGCUACUGUAGCACAAUGGCUCGCGGCGACCAUCAGGACGAUAACGAUGACUUCAUGGAGGUACCGCCACAGAAUCGUGCGACCGGUCGGUCAAAAGCUGGUGAUGAGGUCACCCCCCACAGGUGUGCUUGUCGUAGUCGCUUCAACGAUUGCCACCCCCGACACUAAUUCUUCAUUGUUUGUGGCAUCAUCGGCGACCUGCUGUUGUGAUGUCCCUCCCGUGUGCUCAAAGGUACCCGAAUGAGAUGCCCCCGCGCUGCCGUUUAGUGUAGUUGGAGGUCCUGCAGAAAAAAAGAAAAAAAGGCAUGCAUUUAAUCUUUGUUUGAAUGGCAGUUUUGUUUCAUAACCGAAAAAACCAUCUGCAUUCGAUUUCUGGCAUGACAUCAAUCAUAGUGUGCAGAAUAAUCUGGUUUGUUCACAUUUUGGCACCCACAAUUUUUUCUAUACAUGUCAACGACAUUUUUUAUUAUGCAUGGCAACCAUAGUUGAUAGUACAUGGCAACCAUAGUUGAUUGUCCAUGGCAAAUGCAGUUGAUAAUACAUGGCAACUGCAGUUGAUUAUCCAUGGCUAUUGUAGUUCAUCAGACAUGGCAACCACAGUACAUCAGACAUGGCAACCACAGUUGAUCACACAUGGCAAAUGCAUUUCAUUACACAUGGCAAAUUCAUUCAUAUCAUACACGACAAACUACACUUUUUGCGAAUACAACACACAAGCAGCAAUGUCACAUAUAAUUCCUCUGAUGUUGCAUUGUCAACAGAAUCACUUCAUACUACUCACCUGUGUUUGACGUCGAUGGCAGGUACCCGAUUGCUGACGGUUGCCACGUGCUACAUGACGGUCCUGCGUUUCCACCAUAAAACUUGUAAGUAUUUUCCAUCUCUUCAAGUCUUUUUUUCAUCUUUUCGGCAAAAGCUGAAUGGUUUUAUUGAUACGUGUUACCUUGAUUUGCCACAUUGGCUACUUGAAAUUGGUCGAACGUACAUCCAUCAGCGUUAGCGCCCCGUGUUUGAACUUGCCAAGUCACCCCUGAGUUUGACCCUACGAAAAAGUAACAUGAUAGGACAUAAGUACAAUACCAUUCCCCCACGCCCCCCCAUAACAUGACAAUUGUCCCUUUUUUUGAUCAUUUACCGUACCCAUGCUCACAUACUGCUCUAAAAGUGGCAGCAACGGUCCCGCGGAAAUGAGUUGAUUGUACUCUGAUGCAUCCCAAGGUUGCAUUGCCAGGUUUUGAGAAAACCAAUGAUCUGCGCCAUCUUUCUGAUUCAUUCUUCCGCCUCUUUUCCCAUUGUGUUUUUCAGUCACUGCACAAACAAGAGACACAUGAAACUGCAUUUUCUGCUGAUUUUUUGUACAUACAAGAAAAACACGGCAAUCCCAUCACAAUUAUUGCGUAGACAACCAAUUACAUGAUGGCAAAUAUGAUAUGCACGUUUGUUAUCCCAUUUUCUAAAAUCUGGAUGCCAAGUGUCGUUUUUGAACUGAUGGCGAUGAGAAACACAGUAAGAUGGCAACUGACUAAACACCAUGGUGGCCACUAACUGCAAAGACAGGUGGCAACCAACGUAAAAAUUGAACGGUAACUACUUCUCUCUAUUCCGAUUGCCACCCAAAUCCAUCCCAUCCAUUCCUUCCAUGCUUCUAGUGAACACUAGAUCCGUGUGGCAAUUGCCAUAUCGUUGUGGAUGUAGUUGCCCGCUUCGUGGGCAAUCAGAAAGUUCAACUAGUAGGGGUGGAAAUAGGACCAGAAAGACAAUGAGAUCGGAGAUCGACCUGCUCCUCUUUUGUCUGUCGCCGCCGGCUCGUCGAUCNNNNNNNNNNNNNNNNNNNNNNNNNNNNNNNNNNNNNNNNNNNNNNNNNNNNNNNNNNNNNNNNNNNNNNNNNNNNNNNNNNNNNNNNNNNNNNNNNNNNNNNNNNNNNNNNNNNNNNNNNNNNNNNNNNNNNNNNNNNNNNNNNNNNNNNNNNNNNNNNNNNNNNNNNNNNNNNNNNNNNNNNNNNNNNNNNNNNNNNNNNNNNNNNNNNNNNNNNNNNNNNNNNNNNNNNNNNNNNNNNNNNNNNNNNNNNNNNNNNNNNNNNNNNNNNNNNNNNGGGUGCCGCUACAGAUAUAGUAUGGUUGCCAUGGCAACCAGAGAAGGCACGCGAUGGGAUCGGGAGGUAGGAGACGAUGUAGAUCUGAUGCGAUAGGGUUCGUUGGUAGGUCGCGGCAUCGAGCACGCGUUCGGGUUGUGCGGGCAGCGGGAUGGGUCGCCCGGACGUGUGGGCGUUCGUGCCACACACCGGACGUGCGGGUCGUGGCUCGUGCGCCCGGACGCCGUCGUGCGGGCGGAUUAGUCCCCGCACCGAACAGGACGUGCGGGCCGACCCACCUAACUGCCACACGUGUGGCAGCUAUCGGCGUCCAUUAAUAAUUAACGGAUGCCGUUUCCGGGUUUUUUGGAUCGUGACGACACGGACGUGGGGUUUACUCCCACGACCUACCUGACCCGCACUAUAUAGUUAGGCAGACAUCUACCCUAGCCGCCGCCAUUUUUCGUAUGGUUUCUCACCACCGUUCCAGACCAUUGCGCCGCCGAGCAAGUCUUCUCCAUCCCUCCUUUCGGCGUGCACCGGGAGAAGGGACAGCAGGCCUCUGGAACCCCGCCUCUCGUGAUCCUGUACGGGAGAGGGGCGAUCAGGUUUUUGGGGAGCGCACUCGCGCGAUUGCUGGCAGCGACGACUUCACGAACGACGACUUCUUCCACGACCUCGGCAACCUCAUCCUCGACGACAUGAGCGACAACGUCAACGCCGGCGGUGCUGCUCCCGCUGCACCGUAUGUGAUUCUAUCUUUCCUGUACGAGAUCGUGGUAGAAUUCAUGUUUUACUAUGUGCCCUAGAUGUGAUCUGUUCAUCUACUAUGCUAGUUCGCAUGAUUAGUUCAAUCUCUGCUACUGUAGUCAUGAUUUAUCUUCUGUUGAUUCGGAUUAAAUCUAGUAGUAAUUUGCUCAUAUUUUCAACACUUCCCAGAUCAACUAGCAUGUUCAUGUUGGAAGUUUGCUCCGGUUUACUGCUAGGAGGUCUUUCAGUCGGGCAGCACAGCAAGCAGUAGAGACCCAACUUGAUAAUUAUCUCCUAAUCAAUGGGCUUCGGGGCCCUGAUCUCGAUUAUUAAACGCGAAUCAAAGGCUACCGUACUUUACUGCUGCUUUUCAUCUCCAACCUCGGUGCGUGCAUGAUAAUAAUGCCUAUCUGAAUUUUCUUCUGGAAAAGGGAUGCCUAUCUGAAUAAAUGUACUACUAGGAUUCAAGCAUCAUCCUGCCUUUACAGAGUUGUUGUGAGCCACUUUAGCAGGGCUCGUGUUUUAACCACCGCUUUUCAAGACCAUAAAAUUGUCUAGCUCAGACGGAGCCCACAUGAAAGAGAGAUCCCCUGGUCCUGGAGCCCCCAAAUGAGAUCUGCACAGGUCUUCUCCAUAAGUCUCUGCACCGGUGGAGUGAUGGAGAUGGACCUACCCUUGUCCUGCUCCGCCUUGCCCGUCGAGCUGGCAUCUGGCAACUGGAUCAUCAGGCACCAUGUCGGCACCUUUGAUACAGCUUUGAUUGAUUACACUGUUUAUUCUACUGCAACCAGGGCAAGAUGGGGUGUGGGGUAUCUAUUUUAUACUCCCUCUGUUCGGAAUUACUUGUCUCGAAAAUGAAUGUAUCUAGAACUAAAAUACGUCUAGAUACAUCCAUUUCUGCGACAAGUAAUUCCGAACGGAGGGAGUAGGUGUCAAUGUGGUACUAGGCUGUAUUAGUAUAGGACUGAGCUCUUCUCUUCCAGCUCCUAAUCUUGGCGAUCUGAUUCAUAGCUUAGGCACUUUGCUUUCUGCAUAAUUAACUAACAGCAAGGACAUUGGCAUCUAUUAUCAAGAUAUGGGCAAAAUAUCCUUCGUACAGCGACAGAUCAUAGCUCUUUCAAAGGCAAUAUCAAUGAGAUCAAGCAUCAAAGCGACCCUGCUACCAAACUCAGACUUUAUCAGGGAAGCAGCAUUUUUUUUUUUUGGAAAAGAGGAUAACCCCAGCCUCUGCAGCAUCAUACGACGCACACAGACAAUCAGGGAAGGAGCAUACACUCAACAGCCUAGAAUGGUAUCCUCUAGAUUCACAAGGCAGAAGAGAGUUUACAGCUCAGGCAUAAUCCGCAGCCACGUUUCAAUCUCAAGUCUACCACAAGGCAGAAGAGAGUUUACAGCUCGGGCAUAAUCCGCAGCCACAUUACAGCCUCAUGCCUACAGACUAUCUUUCAUAUCGCAUACAUAAAGAACGAAAGGAAUGUACAGUUCCCUGCAGAAUUUACAUGGCGAAACAUCUCAGGCGUCCAUGGCGCUUAGGGGUACAGAUUUUGUUCUUGGGAGGUUUGGUGGCAACUGAGCUCCAGUAUAAUAGUUUCUGGCUGUGAACAUACAGUCCGGGCUGCUCUCGGUGCGCAGGGCCCUUUGGGCUCCUGGGCUCGGACACACUUGGUUACUCAUGCCUGAAUGCUGAUCGGUGCUUGCUGUGCCAGGGCUACUUGCUGUGCCGGGGCUUCGCUGGCAGGUCGGUACACGGAAAUUGUGGUGCUUGCCAACAUGGAAAGACUCCAGCUUGCUCAGUGUAGGCUUCGUCCUGCUUGCUCCAUUGGUGGUGUUGUCGAAGUCCAGAGAUGGAUGAAUAGCUCUCUUCAGGUGUGCCAUUUUCCGCGCUUUGUACUUGGCCAUCUUCACUUCAUGCUUUAUGUCGAACCCCUUCGACUGAUGAUCGGCGUCGCUCUCAUAAUUCUCGGUUGGGCACGACCGCUCCUGGAAAGAACUGAAGCAAAGCCGAUCAGAAAGACCUCUUCUACCCAUCUUUGGGAACCCAUUCAGGCGUAUGGGUUCCUUGUCUUUGACAUGUUGCUCUUUUUGAGCGCUUCCAUCAUCAGAGCUGCCCCCUGAGUCAUGCAAACCAGAUUGCUCUUCAUCGGCAGCUUGGAAUGUGAUCUCUUCAAACCUCCCAUGCAGUUCUGCACAUCGGCAACCACGAGAAUUCGACGACAUGUAGUCAAAAAGCGAACCACAUGAUGACACAUUGGAUCCACAGUUAUGGCAGUAUGCAGCGUCAGGAGCUUCCUCUAUGCCUGGACCGGCCAUCCAAUCUGGCACCAAUGCACUAAGCUCGCCAUCGAUCAUCUCAGCGAUACGAGUAACCUCAUGGUCAGUUAUGUCCAGCUCGCCUAUCAUCUCAGUUGCCACACUUAAUGCAGUAUCAGCCUCAACAUCGAACGGAAAAUAGAUGUUGCGUACCCGGCCUGCAAAUAUGAGAAAUUAGUUUUCACAAAAUAUCUGAAUUAACAUUUUCACACACUGAAUUCAACCAAAGAGUUUAGGCAUCAUAAAUUGCGUGUUACCAUCAUCAUCUGUAAUUCGUAGUCUGAGGAAGAUUCCUCCAUCCUCACUUUUUCUCCCUUUGAUUGCGAUGUCCACAGUGCCAAGAGGCUCAUCUUCGUGGCCGUUGAACAGAUCAAUGCCAUCAGCUUUAGUGUCGUCAUCUUCAAACUCCGUCGGUGCACCUUCGUCAAUGCUUUCUGAGAACCCAUUGCUCAUCACGGACCCAUUACUGUAAGCAUGCCUUAGGUAGGGCUGCCGAAGGUAAUUGUUCAACAGGGUGUAAUCCCCAUCCCCAGAACAUAGAGCCAUGCCAUCAAUGCGCAGGAAAGGGUCAUUGAGCAGCUCUCUUGCCGUGAGCCUCUCGGAAGCAGUGGUCAGACAUUUCUCAACAAAUUGCCUCACCAUUGGAUCUUUCACCUUGUACAAAGCUUCAGGCUUAGUACCCUACCAACCAAACCACUAGAUGACAUCAGUAAAACAAUUUCCAACUAGCCACACACCAGAAUCACAAGAGCUGCAAAUGGCUAAAGAGAACCAAGAGGUACUUCUUACAGAGAUCACUCUCUUGUAGAUCUGCACCGGGUGCGAGCAUUCGCUAUACGGGUACUCAAAGGUGACCAUCUCAAGCACGCACAUCCCGAAGGAGUAUAUGUCCACCAGCUCGUUGUAUUCUUCGGCGUACACCUCCGGCGCCAUGAACUCAGGCGUACCUACCCAAACAAUCCGACACGUCCACCUCAUCAAAUUUCCACAGAACCAUCACCAUUUGGGAUUGUAAAACCAUUUUUCCAUGCUAGGUAGCUAAUCGGCUGAAGCUUACCUACGCAGUGAACAGCGUGGGACUUGCGGAGGAUGGCGGCAAGGCCGAGGUCGCCGAUCUUGACCUCGCCCUGGUUACCAUUGACGAAGAUGUUGUCGCACUUGAGGUCCCGGUGGAUGAUGGGUGGAUUGUGGCUGUGUAGGUACAGCAGGCCGCUGAGGAUCUGCCGGCACCAGUCCUUGACCGCCCAUAUGUUCACCUUCCUGUGCUUCUGCCUGUACCUAAUCACCACCACACCAGCAAAUCACAAGCAAUCAAUUAGGCAUACAGAAGAGAAGAUACGGUACUUCUUUUCUAGAAUUGGGCAGAAAGAAAGGAGAUUUUCUUUAGAUUGAGCGUACAAGGAUACAACUUUAUUGAGCAUUAAAGAGGGCUAGAUGAGAUUACUGGCGGAGGGUGCCGGAGGUGAACAUCUCGGUGAUGAAGUUGAUGUGGCGGGCAGAGACGUCGACCCAGGAGGUGUAGAACUUCAUGAUGUUCUUGUGCUUGAGCGUCUUGAGGAGGUGGAUCUCGCAGUAGAGGCGCUCCAGGUCAUCGGGGCACUGCAGGAAGUCGUACAGCUUCACCUGAUUCCACGCCACCUCCAUCCCCUGGUACUCGUCGAACGCCCGGUACCUGAAACCAAACCAGCCGCCCGUCGUCAGCAGUCAGCUCGGCCGGCGCGACGGCGGGCUAAGAAAGAACCGACAGCAAGCAGCGAGCGAGCGAGCGAGCGAGCGAGCGAGCAGAGGACGGCGGAUCUUACACGGUCUUGGACGCGCCCUUGCCGAGGACGUCGUUGUACUGCAAGAAGCAUGGAGCAAACGGAUCAGCGAUCUGGCAUGGCAGGGAAACGAAUCGAGAAACGGCCGCAGGAGGAGGGGAGGUUGUUGUUGGUGGUGGGGGUGGUGGUGCCGUACCCUUCCGUACCGGCCGGUGGGGUCGAGCUCCGCGUACUCCCCGCAGUCGGCCGCGUUGGCGCUGGCGUUGGCCCUGGCGCCCAUCAUCCUAGCUCCGGCUCGCUCCGCUCCGUAACCAGUGCGGCAAGCUCCCGCUCCGCGCCGCCCGGGAGGCAGCUGCUGGCUCGCCGGCGCGCUGGCGCUGCUAGGAGGAGUGGAUAGGGAGUGAGGAGGGGCAGGGGAAGGGGGAGGGGGAGGAGGAGAGGACCGGCGCGGGAGCGAGCGGCCUAUUUAGGGAAAUGUGGGCACACAUGGUGUGUGUGGGCAGAUAGAGAGAGAGAUGGGAAGCAGCCAAGGAGGAGGGAGGAGGGGGGUGGGGAUGAUGAGGCUACCCCAAUGCUAAGCAUGGGUUUAGUUUAGAUCGGAGUAGAUUAGAUCAAUGGAAAGCCAGAGAUAAACUCGCUGUUUUUAACCGCACACGAGAUGAGAUUUACUAAGGCUACGUACGUACUAGGGGUGACAGGAUCCUAGAUACUGUCGUUGGCUAGUCGGGUGAGACUACAAUUCCAUCAUGACACGGUCAAAUUAGCCUCACCCCAUGCCAAUAUACUAAUCCACAAUUAUUCGGUGCAGAUAAAUCAGACCGGGAUCAUGGCGUGGCUCCUCUUCGUCUCUAAAAGGAACUGUAAACACAUUAGAAAAUGCGCAGGCCGGUCCCUGCUUUUUUAUUCAUUUCUGAAAAGGCAGCCCGAUUUUCCAAGAAAGCAUGUUUGGUUUGGACCCAAAUGUUGUUCAAUCCCAUGGCCGAAAACGACGGCUCGCGGAAAAGUAUAGAUGUAGAAGAUCAGGGGGGAGAAACUAUGUCGAGAACGGGGGUGUCUUUUCUUCUUAUUUUUAUCUUCUCUGUGACCGGAAAGGGGACGGCUGAUUAAAAAGGACGAAUGGACGAUCUUGGCGCAAACCGAACAAGAAAAUGGUAGUGGUAAAUUUACUGGGGUUUUGUUUUCUUGUCCUUGACAAGGCAAAUCUGACUCUUGACUUCGGAGAAGAAAAGGAAAUGGUUGGAGAGCGGCCCCUUUGUUUGCCUGACCGAUGAUGAUGAAGCCCUGCUAAAUGCUAUGCUCCCCCGGCAAACACGAUGAGUGUCUGGUUCAUCUUCAUUUCCCAACACGAUGGAGAAUUGUAAGCAGUUAAAAAGAUACCGGAUAAUUGGAUAAAAUUACUCGUACAUGAGAUUCACAUCUCCAUUUUUCAACACGGUGGAGAUUUGUAAGCAGUUUAAAAGAAAUCAGAUAAUUGGACACAAU
rnacentral:lncRNA from 1 species